GCUCGUAGGCGGUUUGUCGCGUCUGCUGUGAAAUCCCGAGGCUCAACCUCGGGUCUGCAGUGGGUACGGGCAGACUAGAGUGCGGUAGGGGAGAUUGGAAUUCCUGGUGUAGCGGUGGAAUGCGCAGAUAUCAGGAGGAACACCGAUGGCGAAGGCAGAUCUCUGGGCCGUAACUGACGCUGAGGAGCGAAAGGGUGGGGAGCAAACAGGCUUAGAUACCCUGGUAGUCCACCCCGUAAACGUUGGGAACUAGUUGUGGGGUCCUUUCCACGGAUUCCGUGACGCAGCUAACGCAUUAAGUUCCCCGCCUGGGGAGUACGGCCGCAAGGCUAAAACUCAAAGGAAUUGACGGGGACCCGCACAAGCGGCGGAGCAUGCGGAUUAAUUCGAUGCAACGCGAAGAACCUUACCAAGGCUUGACAUACACCGGAAACGGCCAGAGAUGGUCGCCCCGUAAGGUCGGUGUACAGGUGGUGCAUGGUUGUCGUCAGCUCGUGUCGUGAGAUGUUGGGUUAAGUCCCGCAACGAGCGCAACCCUCGUUCUAUGUU
rnacentral:rRNA from 1 species